rnacentral:lncRNA from 1 species
AUGUAUGUGAGUUUGUGUCUUGUGGCACAAGAAUCUGUGUAUCUGUUUAGAUUCACCAGAAAAAGUAUUAAAAUAUUAGUAACAUUGUUUACAAUUGUCUUUCAUUUUCCAAUUUCAGCACAAGGGACCAGGAUUGCCUUUUCAGUUCAAAGGAAACCAAAUUGCUUUAAAAGAGAGCGACAGGAUUCCGAUGGGAUUUUAGGCUCUGAACUGAUCGACAAGAGAGAAUGGCAAGAAAACACAUCAUGCCCAGGCAUUCUGGACGCACUCAGCCAGGAUGGAGCCAAACUCAGAGCUGAGAGGGGCCAGGAUCUGCAUCCCAGUCUGGCCCACGACCAGCUGUGUGACCUCGGGCGUGGUACUGAAUCUAUCUGUGCCAGAAUCUCCUCAUCUGUAACAGGGGUAAUUAUAGGAUCUCCUUCACCAGAAUCGUGGUGUGAAGUAAGUGAAGCAAUACAGGGAAAGAGUGCAGAACAACACUGACUUGUAGUAAGUGAUCGAAGUACUAGGUGCUACUUUCAAAUAACUCAUAUUUUAAUGUUAUCCGUCUAGCUACCUGUAGAUACUGCAAAACCUACUCCAGGAGCCCUCAAAUGGUUAAUCAUGUAUCUAUUUUUAGGGGCAGAGUCUUCUGCUUUUGCCGGUGCUCUUGGCAAUAGAACGUUGAGUUAUUCUUUCAUUAUAUGAGAUUGAUUCCUGACACUGAAAUCUCAAAACUGCUAGAAGGAGGCUAGAGGCAGAACGUGUCUCAUACACUCAAAGAUUUCCAGUUUUAAAAACUUUGCAGCAAUUAUUUUCACUGGCUUUACUCUUUAUAUAGGUGGACUCACACAGUAUUUGAAUUUUUGUGAUAUCUUAUUUCACUUGACAUAAACCUUAAGGUUCACUCACAUUUAGAAUUUCCUUUCUUUGUAAGGCUGAAUAAUCA